GGAGGAGGGGUGGGGUUGAAGGAAAGAUUAAAAUGAUGAUAAUAUUGUAAUCAUAUGAUAAGGUUACUGUAGCUAGGCUACCUAAUACAUUUUCAGAUAAAGUCGGUCUGUCAGGCUUUUAUUUUGAUUGAUAUCAAUAACCAUACAAUUAUACAGUGAUAUACUGUGGUGCUUCUUUGUUGAUAUAUUAUGCCAUUUAGAUGUGACUGCAUGGAUGCAUUAUGCAUACUGUGCACUCAUCUGUUUUCAAAGAGACAGCUUCCAGGAGACAGAUCCCAGACAUCAAAGGACAAACUGGAGUUACACAGUUUUCAGGUCUUCAGUAGAAUGGCUGCACUGCAGUAUAUAGUUAAGCAGAUAAUGUUGUGUUUGAGUUCCAGUGAUCAUAACAUGUCCAACCAUACAGUAGGUGAGUAACUGAAGCAUUGAUGUUGAUGUUGUGUAAUCAACCAUGACUAACUAGGGCCCAGAGUUUCUCCUGGUCUGUAAGAACUCAGAGCCCUAGUAGUCAUACCGUGAGGAGGAUAGAGAUGGGUAGAAGGAGAAAGAUAAAUAGAUUUGAAGGUGUGGAGGUGGAGAGAUGAUAAGAUAACUCACGCUUCUUGUUUCCUCCCACAAUGUUUCGAAGCAGGGUCCACAAGGACCAGCUGGUCCUCAAGGCCGCUCAGGAAACCCUGGAGACCCUGGAAUUAGAGGGCCAACUGGUCCGAUCGGUACCAAUGGACCUCCAGGUCCGUCAGGGGUAAAGGGUAAUCAAGGAGUGCCUGGGGUUGGUGUU